CCUUUUAAGUUAAAGAACGAGAGCCAUGACCCCUCCUUAGUGA
rnacentral:tRNA from 1 species